rnacentral:rRNA from 1 species
UGGGGAAUCUUGGACAAUGGGCGCAAGCCUGAUCCAGCCAUGCCGCGUGAGUGAUGAAGGCCUUAGGGUUGUAAAGCUCUUUUGCCGGGGACGAUAAUGACGGUACCCGGAGAAUAAGUCCCGGCUAACUUCGUGCCAGCAGCCGCGGUAAUACGAAGGGGACUAGCGUUGUUCGGAAUCACUGGGCGUAAAGCGCACGUAGGCGGAUUUGUAAGUCAGGGGUGAAAUCCCGGGGCUCAACCUCGGAACUGCCUUUGAUACUGCGGAUCUCGAGUCCGAUAGAGGUGAGUGGAAUUCCUAGUGUAGAGGUGAAAUUCGUAGAUAUCAAGAGGAACACCUGAGGUGAAGACGGGUUGCUGGGCUGACACUGACGCUGAGGCGCGAAAGCCAGGGGAGCAAACGGGAUUAGAUACCCAGGUAGUCCCUGAGCGGGCUGGCAAGGCGCAU